AUUGAAAUAGGUGUAGGGACGAGAUACUGUGAGAGGCGCGAGUUGUAGAUGCCAUCUCGCGGAGUGAAGCCGAACCACCACAUAUAUAUAUAUAUAUAUACACAUAAUUUUUCACUAAUAACCUCAGUAGUAAAAAAACACAAACAUAAGCACAGCAAGAAUGAUGAAAAUGAUAAGAGAUUAAAGAACAUUGGAAGCAUGUUAAAUGAUUUAAAGGAAGAAUUAAAAUCUCAACACAGCAUGUUACAGGAAUUUUUAGACUAUUGGAGAGAGCAUCGGGAUACUCCUCCAAAUAUUGAGUCACAACAGCUAGAAAAGAAAACUAGGUUUCCUCAGACUGGAUUUACUAGAGUUGCUGAUCACAAUCCAUUUGGGUCAAGGCAUUUAUAUCCCAAAAGAUUAUUACAACAUAGUUUGUAAUAAGGCUACGUCAGAGUCCCAAUUUGUAAGAAACAUACUCGUAAGCGUAUUUGACGCAGAAGUAUUGAAGAACCACAGUAUCCACGGAAAUAAAUCAAAUAAAAUUAAGCAAGAGCUACAAAGACCGGGAUUAGAUCCGACAAAACUGUUAGCAGUCAAAGAGAUAUUUUCAUCCUAUUUGCGCAAACAAGGUCUCAAGGAUGAAAAGUUAGAAAAGAAAGAAAAACAUUUUUACGAUUACGUUAGGAGCAAAAUAACUGACUUACGCUCGAAAGCAAGAGUUCAAAAGAAGCAUAUCGAAAAAUAAACAUCAAAAUCCGAUGAAUUACCGCCGAAACUUGAUAAAUCGGAGGAUGAAGAAUAUUCUGGUGACUCCGGUAGUGAAGACUUAGCAACAAAAAGAAGUACAACCAGCGAUAAGGAACAAGAAAAAGACAUGGAAGAGACAGAAAGCUAUGAAGAAAGUAGUGAUUCAGAUGGUGAAGAGAGUAAAGAAAAUAAAAAUGGAGUAGAAGAUGAUCAAGAACGUCGGGAAAACGAUGGUGAAAAUCUAAACGAUGCAGAUGAAAAAAAGGAAAAUAAUAUAUCCGAUUAAAAAGAACCUUUAAGAUUUUCAUUAGUAUGAAAUAAAAAUAACUUGCCUAAUUUCUUAUUGUAACGUACAAGAUAAUUUUCCAUUAAGGCUUCACCAAUUAUUAUGAUAAUUAAUCUAAAUAUGAUUUAACAAACUCAAGAUUAUUCAACUAACUAAAUAUUAUUUAAUGAACUUAUUU